UAAGGAAUAUUGGUCAAUGGACGCAAGUCUGAACCAGCCAUGCCGCGUGGAGGAUGAAGGCCCUCUGGGUUGUAAACUUCUUUUAUAGGGGACGAAACCCUGGUAUUCCUACCAGAUUGACGGUACCCUAGGAAUAAGCACCGGCUAACUCCGUGCCAGCAGCCGCGGUAAUACGGAGGGUGCAAGCGUUAUCCGGAUUCACUGGGUUUAAAGGGUGCGUAGGAGGGCAGGUAAGUCAGUGGUGAAAUCUCCAAGCUUAACUUGGAAACUGCCGUUGAUACUAUCUGUCUUGAAUAUUGUGGAGGUGAGCGGAAUAUGUCAUGUAGCGGUGAAAUGCUUAGAUAUGACAUAGAACACCAAUUGCGAAGGCAGCUCACUACUCAAUCAUUGACUCUGAGGCACGAAAGCGUGGGGAUCAAAC
rnacentral:rRNA from 1 species